rnacentral:rRNA from 1 species
GAUGAACGCUGGCGGCGUGCCUAAUACAUGCAAGUCGAGCGAACAGAUAAGGAGCUUGCUCCUUUGACGUUAGCGGCGGACGGGUGAGUAACACGUGGGUAACCUACCUAUAAGACUGGGAUAACUUCGGGAAACCGGAGCUAAUACCGGAUAAUAUUUCGAACCGCAUGGUUCGAUAGUGAAAGAUGGUUUUGCUAUCACUUAUAGAUGGACCCGCGCCGUAUUAGCUAGUUGGUAAGGUAACGGCUUACCAAGGCGACGAUACGUAGCCGACCUGAGAGGGUGAUCGGCCACACUGGAACUGAGACACGGUCCAGACUCCUACGGGAGGCAGCAGUAGGGAAUCUUCCGCAAUGGGCGAAAGCCUGACGGAGCAACGCCGCGUGAGUGAUGAAGGUCUUCGGAUCGUAAAACUCUGUUAUUAGGGAAGAACAUACGUGUAAGUAACUGUGCACGUCUUGACGGUACCUAAUCAGAAACCCACGGCUAACUACGUG